rnacentral:rRNA from 1 species
ACUUAAAUUGAAGAGUUUGAUCAUGGCUCAGAUUGAACGCUGGCGGCAGGCCUAACACAUGCAAGUCGAGCGGUAGCACAGAGAGCUUGCUCUCGGGUGACGAGCGGCGGACGGGUGAGUAAUGUCUGGGAAACUGCCUGAUGGAGGGGGAUAACUACUGGAAACGGUAGCUAAUACCGCAUAACGUCGCAAGACCAAAGUGGGGGACCUUCGGGCCUCAUGCCAUCAGAUGUGCCCAGAUGGGAUUAGCUAGUAGGUGGGGUAAUGGCUCACCUAGGCGACGAUCCCUAGCUGGUCUGAGAGGAUGACCAGCCACACUGGAACUGAGACACGGUCCAGACUCCUACGGGAGGCAGCAGUGGGGAAUAUUGCACAAUGGGCGCAAGCCUGAUGCAGCCAUGCCGCGUGUAUGAAGAAGGCCUUCGGGUUGUAAAGUACUUUCAGCGAGGAGGAAGGCGUUAAGGUUAAUAACCUUAGCGAUUGACGUUACUCGCAGAAGAAGCACCGGCUAACUCCGUGCCAGCAGCCGCGGUAAUACGGAGGGUGCAAGCGUUAAUCGGAAUUACUGGGCGUAAAGCGCACGCAGGCGGUCUGUCAAGUCGGAUGUGAAAUCCCCGGGCUCAACCUGGGAACUGCAUUCGAAACUGGCAGGCUAGAGUCUUGUAGAGGGGGGUAGAAUUCCAGGUGUAGCGGUGAAAUGCGUAGAGAUCUGGAGGAAUACCGGUGGCGAAGGCGGCCCCCUGGACAAAGACUGACGCUCAGGUGCGAAAGCGUGGGGAGCAAACAGGAUUAGAUACCCUGGUAGUCCACGCCGUAAACGAUGUCGACUUGGAGGUUGUGCCCUUGAGGCGUGGCUUCCGGAGCUAACGCGUUAAGUCGACCGCCUGGGGAGUACGGCCGCAAGGUUAAAACUCAAAUGAAUUGACGGGGGCCCGCACAAGCGGUGGAGCAUGUGGUUUAAUUCGAUGCAACGCGAAGAACCUUACCUACUCUUGACAUCCAGAGAACUUAGCAGAGAUGCUUUGGUGCCUUCGGGAACUCUGAGACAGGUGCUGCAUGGCUGUCGUCAGCUCGUGUUGUGAAAUGUUGGGUUAAGUCCCGCAACGAGCGCAACCCUUAUCCUUUGUUGCCAGCGGUUAGGCCGGGAACUCAAAGGAGACUGCCAGUGAUAAACUGGAGGAAGGUGGGGAUGACGUCAAGUCAUCAUGGCCCUUACGAGUAGGGCUACACACGUGCUACAAUGGCAUAUACAAAGAGAAGCGACCUCGCGAGAGCAAGCGGACCUCAUAAAGUAUGUCGUAGUCCGGAUUGGAGUCUGCAACUCGACUCCAUGAAGUCGGAAUCGCUAGUAAUCGUAGAUCAGAAUGCUACGGUGAAUACGUUCCCGGGCCUUGUACACACCGCCCGUCACACCAUGGGAGUGGGUUGCAAAAGAAGUAGGUAGCUUAACCUUCGGGAGGGCGCUUACCACUUUGUGAUUCAUGACUGGGGUGAAGUCGUAACAAGGUAACCGUAGGGGAACCUGCGGUUGGAUCACCUCCUUACCUUAAAGAA